GAGGAAUAUUGGUCAAUGGGGGCAACCCUGAACCAGCCAUGCCGCGUGAAGGAUGACUGCCUUAUGGGUUGUAAACUUCUUUUGUAUGGGGCGAAAUGCUAUACGAGAUAUAGAGCUGACAGUACCAUACGAAUAAGCAUCGGCUAACUCCGUGCCAGCAGCCGCGGUAAUACGGAGGAUGCGAGCGUUAUCCGGAUUCACUGGGUUUAAAGGGUGAGUAGGCGGGUUAGUAAGUCAGUGGUGAAAUACUGUCGCUUAACGACAGGGGUGCCAUUGAUACUGCUGAUCUUGAGUUCAGUUGAGGCAGGCGGAAUGUGCAGUGUAGCGGUGAAAUGCUUAGAUAUUGCACAGAACACCGAUUGCGGAGGCAGCUUGCUAAGCUGAAACUGACGCUGAGUCACGAAAGCGUGGGGAUCAAAC
rnacentral:rRNA from 1 species